rnacentral:lncRNA from 1 species
ACCCAUUUUCCUUGGAAAACAUUAAUGAUAACUCUACAGCUAACACUAUAGCAGACACCACUUUUUUGAGUAGCACCAUGUCUGCCUCUACCGCUAGCACCAAAGCAGGUGAGAACUGUGUGCUUAUAAUCUGUUUAUUAUAAUGUUGCCAUCCUGGUUUCACACACAUUUGUCAAACAAAUAUGAAAUUAUAUACACACAGUUAU